rnacentral:rRNA from 1 species
GAUGAACGCUGGCGGCGUGCCUAACACAUGCAAGUCGAGCGAUUCCCUUCGGAGAAGAGCGGCGGACGGGUGAGUAACGCGUGGGUAACCUGCCCUGUACACACGGAUAACAUACCGAAAGGUAUGCUAAUACGAGAUAAUAUACUUUUAUCGCAUGGUAGAAGUAUCAAAGCUUUUGCGGUACAGGAUGGACCCGCGUCUGGUUAGCUAGUUGGUAAGGUAACGGCGUACCAAGGCGACGAUCAGUAGCCGACCUGAGAGGGUGAUCGGCCACGAUCGAACUGAGCCACGGUCCGAACUCCGACGGGAGGCAGCAGUGGUGAAUAUCGCACAAUGGGCGAAAGCCUGAUGCAGCAACGCCGCGGGAGAGAUGAAGGCCUUCGGGUCGUACAGCUCUGUCCUCAAGGAAGAUAAUGACGGUACUUGAGGAGGAAGCCCCGGUUAACUACGUGCCAGCCGCCGCGGUAA